ACUGCUUUUGAAACUGCUUAUCUAGAAUAUGGGAGAGGUAGAUGGAAUUUCUGGUGUAGGGGUAAAAUCCGUAGAGAUCAGAAGGAAUACCGAUUGCGAAGGCGAUCUACUGGAACAUUAUUGACGCUGAGACGCGAAAGCGUGGGGAGCAAACAGGAUUAGCUACCCUGGUAGUCCACGCCCUAAACGAUGUACACUAGUUGUUGUGAGGCUCGACCUUGCAGUAAUGCAGUUAACACAUUAAGUGUACCGCCUGGGGAGUACGGUCGCAAGAUUAAAACUCAAAGGAAUAGACGGGGACCCGCACAAGCGGUGGAGCAUGUGGUUUAAUUCGACGAUACACGAAGAACCUUACCUGGACUUGACAUAGUAAGAACUUUCUAGAGAUAGAUUGGUGUCUGCUUGCAGAAACUUAUAUACAGGUGCUGCACGGCUGUCGUCAGCUCGUGUCGUGAGAUGUUGGGUUAAGUCCCGCAACGAGCGCAACCCUCGUCAUUAGUUGCUAACAGUUCGGCUGAGAACUCUAAUGAGACUGCCUACGCAAGUAGGAGGAAGGUGAGGAUGACGUCAAGUCAUCAUGGCCCUUACGUCCAGGGCUACACACGUGCUACAAUGGGGUAUACAAAGAGCAGCAAUACGGUGACGUGGAGCAAAUCUCAAAAAUAUCUCCCAGUUCGGAUUGUAGUCUGCAACUCGACUACAUGAAGUUGGAAUCGCUAGUAAUCGUAGAUCAGCUAUGCUACGGUGAAUACGUUCCCGGGUCUUGUACUCACCGCCCGUCACACCAUGGGAGUUGAACUCAUUCGAAGCGGGGAUGCUAAAAUAGCUACCUUCCACAGUGGAUUCAGCGACUGGGGUGAAGUCGUAACAAGGUAGCCGUA
rnacentral:rRNA from 1 species